GCCACCAUGCCCGGCAAGUUGGAAGCUGUUAUUCCCAGUUUAGCACUGAUGACCUGAGGGGUUCAGCUGCUAGUCUGUGGUCCACAUCAGAAGCUGGAAGAAGCUGGUUUCUUUUAUCAGCAAAGGAGUCCAGCAGCAACAUGAUAGACACUCUCACAGCCCAGAACCAGGGCAGGCACCUCACACUGCUCUCUCAGCUCUCCCUGCAUAGGGGCUGCCCCGAAAGGUGCUGCCACACUAGGCGAUGGGCUUUCAAAGGACAGCGCAGACCCACAGGGGGAGUAUCGCAGUUAAUUCCAAUCCUAGCAAGUUGACAACCAACCAAGAAUAACUGUCACAGCAUUUUUAUAAGGAAUAUUAUCUUUUCUCUCAUUAUCCCACAAAGAAUUUUGUCUUGGCUAUGAAGAAGUAUGAAGACAAGACCGGAGACAACACAAACAUGCCCGCAAGUGCCUAAGGGCAACGUGGCUUUCGCAUCCGGACAGUAAACAGUCACAGGGCCAACUAGAGGAGAAAUUCACCCAUCUACAGAAAGGUCCUAUUACAGUGGUAGAAAAAUUCCCAGCACUUGGGAGACAGAGGCAAGUGGAUCUCAAA